ensembl:lncRNA
ACAAGUAAAUGAUCACAUAUACAUAGGCAAGAUAUUAACUUGGUAAAAUAGAGCCACUCAGCUGUUUGAGUAGCCUCAUUGAAGUUUUUAAUGAAGUUCUCUUUCUGUUAUUUUAGAACAUCCCUCAUGUUUGCGGGACGGUAUAGUACGGAAAACAUAGUACACAUGCUUCUUGAACUAGGGGUUGAUGUGCUUUCUGAAGACAUUGCUGGACAUUCUGCUAGGGAUUAUGCUCUUCAAAAACGUAAUAUGCAAAAUUACCAACUCAUUUCGUUGUUUCGAGAAAAUGCUGCACUUGAGAAGAUUGUAAAUAGAAAUCCAGAUGAUGAGCAUUCUAAAGAAUAUAGAAAAAGGCUUUUGGAAAUACCUGAUGUUAAUCAUGAACUGCUUAUAUCAUAUGAGGAAGGCCUCAAUUCAUUUGCCAAGAAAGACUUAAUUCCAGGACAUACAACUGCCAUCAUUCACAGUGCACCAGAAGAGCAACCCAAUAACGACAGAAUAACUCGUGUUCAUGGAGUCCAUGAAGAUAACAAAUGUGGAGCAGAAGAUGAAGCUAAAGAAUCAACUUCAGACCCUGAGGAAGGAACGUCAACUAUAGCGGGUAAGAAGAGUAAAAAAUGUUUUUUCAUCACUCAAGUUGCUCCACAACAGCCAAUUAAUAAACAUGGGCUGGACUCUGAUCACGCAUUGGACAAAGAUAACAAACGUAGUAAGGAGUCUACCUCCCAAAGAGAUCCUGAAGACAACAACUCACCAAGGAAUUCGAAGGAAGGAAUGUCAACCUUAGCGAGUAAGAAGGGCUUAAAAGAUAUCGCCAUCACUCAAGUUGCUCCACAACAGCCAAUUAAUGAAUAUGCGUUCAACUAUGAUCGUGGAUUGGACAAUGGUAACAUGGGUAGUAAGGAGUCUACCUCCCAAAGUGAUCCUGAAGACAACAACUCACCAAGGAAUUCGAAGGCAGGAACGUCAGCUGUAGCGGGUAAGAAGAGUAAAAAACGUUUUUUCAUCGCUCAAGUUGCUCCACAACAGCCAAUUAUGAACUCUGAUCACGGAUUGGACAAAGAUAACAAACGUAGUAAGGAGUCUACCUCCCAAAGAGAUCCUGAAGACAACAACUCACCAAGGAAUUCGAAGGAAGGAAUGUCAACCUUAGCGAGUAAGAAGGGCUUAAAAGAUAUCGCCAUCACUCAAGUUGCUCCACAACAGCCAAUUAAUGAAUAUGCGUUCAACUAUGAUCGUGGAUUGGACAAUGGUAAGGAGUCUACCUCCCAAAGAGAUCCUGAAGACAACAACUCACCAAGGAAUUCGAAGACUAUUUCUACAAAUUCUUGGAAGGAAUCCAUUAAUCAAUCAAUGGCAGCAGAUGCAAAAGGAAAAGAUAUGAAUGAACCACUGGAAGAGUUUGCUAAGGGAUCCACUGAAUUGACGCCUCGUCUGGAAGCAAUACAUCCCUUUUUGGCAACAUCAGUGGGAAUGAAUGAAGUACAAACAUGCAGACAAGUUACAGGCAGAAUCAAGUUAAAACCAAUACCAAAACAUCUCAAGAGGCAUUUCCUUCCUCACUGCAAUACUAAUCAAUAUAAAAGCACAGAACUUGAGUUAAAAAAUGUCAAGUCUUCUCCAACAAAUAAUGACAUUAAAACAGCACCCAAGGAAGAACAAGAAUGGCUUGAUGGAAGUGAAAAUAAGCAGUUUGAAGAAAAAGGGCAGCGUUGCCAAAGUAAGGAAAUGGAAGUGUUAAGAAACUUGCAUGAAAGUGCUGCUCCUCCUGAGGACAGUGAUGGUUGUGGACUGAAUCAGCAGAGACAGAGUGGGGACCUUGACAACCAGCAAUCUGCCACUAAGAAGAGUGAAGAAUAUUAUUCGGAACAGUUAAGAAGAAAAGAAAAGCAAUAUCAUAAAGAAGAAGUGAAACAAGAAGAAGUGACACAUAGAACACUAGAAAUGGAUGUGAGGACUUCAAAAAACAAUUUGACCCAGGUAGAUAUGAAACACCUGCAGCAGCAACAGGAUUACAUUGAGAAAAGGCAAUGUAAAUCAGAGGCAUCGCUGAGAGAUAUGGCACAGUUUUACCUUAAGUUAAACAGCAAGAUGCAGGAUAUAAUGAACAAGUUAGAUGAAAUCGUCAGAAAAGUAUGUAUGAUAUCUAGCAUGUCAAUAAGAAUUCUAGAGCUUAGAGUUUCCAAAUACAAAUAUCAUAAGACCCUGCUUUAUUUGAAUAUGAAAAUCUUGGCACAAUUUUAUCAUUAUGCACUUACUUCUUAAACUCUGAUAUCCACUAUUUAUUGUUAUAUUCUUUAUUAAAAUAAUACUCACUGUUAAAAACUUGAGGAAUAUAUAUCAUUUUUCACAGAAAAUGCACAUUUUUCUCAAUAUUUUCAGUGAUAUCAAUUGUCAUGAUAAAACAAGGCAGAUUGAAUCAGAGGAUAAAAUUUAGCAGAAUUCUCAAAAAAUACAUUUCUUGUUUCACUUAUGUGAAUGGAUACAAAACCUAUGUUUAUUGAUCCUGUGUAUUUCAGAAUAAAUUUUCAAAAUACUUUAUACUAUGCUGAAAU